rnacentral:rRNA from 1 species
UACGUAGGGUGCGAGCGUUGUCCGGAAUUAUUGGGCGUAAAGGGCUCGUAGGCGGUCUGUCACGUCGGGAGUGAAAACACGGGGCUUAACCCCGUGCCUGCUUCCGAUACGGGCAGACUAGAGGUAUGCAGGGGAGAACGGAAUUCCUGGUGUAGCGGUGAAAUGCGCAGAUAUCAGGAGGAACACCGGUGGCGAAGGCGGGUCUCUGGGCAACAACUGACGCUGAGGAGCGAAAGCGUGGGGAGCGAACAGG